CAAUGCAAUUAAGGUUAAGGAAGAGGAAGAUGAAAGGUGAUGGUGAGGCUAGUGUGGAAAAAGGUCAGCAGAGCAAGUUAGUGCUCUUGAGGGGAAGAAAGGGCAACAAAUCAUAACCAGCUUUUUUCUUCUCUCAGGGGAUCCUGGUAGGUUUCACAUGGAAGUUACCCAGCAGCCCACCUAGAGAGUCGCUCUUCCCUGCAUGGUCAACUGCUAGACGGCCACCCUCUUUCCUUUAAAGGCAGAUGCGAUCUACCUUCCAUGGGUGAUUCAGAAAGAAAAGAAGACUUUGCAAAAACUGAAGCAAAAGAGAAGUUUUCUAAGCAAAGAAGGCCACGCAGAAAGAAGUCAACAGAUUAAAGAAGAAAAAGACCCAUAUACCUCCCAUCUUCCUUCGGCUUAGGACACUGAAACUCUGAAAGCAGACCACGUACCUUCAGAAGAGUUCUUCCAGGAGAAAUAAACUUGUCCACCCGGCCACAGUCAGGCUUUCUUUGAUUUCUGAGGAGGUCAUAGAGAAAUGGAGAGCAACAACCCACCUGCUCACUCUGCUUGUCAAGGGUAGUUCCAAUAAGCUGUGAAGAAACUCUGCUACUCUGAUACGGCCAAGGUCAACACACUGCGCAGGGAAGAAGACAUCUUAGACUACUCCUACCAUGAUGCUCUGAGUGUUGCCAACAAAACUGGGGUCAUCCAGAUGGAACCCAGCACUUUCAUUUUAACUGUAUUAAGGUUUCCUGUCAUCCAA